rnacentral:rRNA from 1 species
CACGUAGGGGCCAAGCGUUGUCCGGAUUUAUUGGGCGUAAAGAGCUCGUAGGCGGCUCGGUAAGUCGGGUGUGAAACCUCCAGGCUCAACCUGGAGACGCCACCUGAUACUGCUGUGGCUAGAGUCCGGUAGGGGAGCGUGGAAUUCCUGGUGUAGCGGUGAAAUGCGUAGAUAUCAGGAGGAACACCGGUGGUGUAGACGGCUCUCUGGACCGUAACUGACGCUGAGACACGAAAGCGUGGGUAGCAAACAGG